CCUACGGGAUGCAGCAGGCGCGAAACCUUUACACUGCGGGAAACCGCGAUCAGGGGACACCGAGUGCCAGCACACAAUGCUGGCUGUCCACAUGUGUACAUAGCAUGUGAUAGCAAGGGCCGGGCAAGACCGGUGCCAGCCGCCGCGGUAACACCGGCGGCCCGAGUGGUAAUCACUAUUAUUGGGUCUAAAGGGUCCGUAGCCGGUUUAAUCAGUCUUCCGGGAAAUCUGACAGCCCAACUGUUAGGCUCCCGGGGGAUACUGUUAGACUUGGGACCGGGAGAGGUAAGAGAUACUACAGAGGUAGGAGUGAAAUCUUGUAAUCCCUGCGGGACCACCAGUGGCGAAGGCGUCUUACCAGAACGGGUCCGACGGUGAGGGACGAAAGCUGGGGGCACGAACCGGAUUAGAUACCCCCGUAGUC
rnacentral:rRNA from 1 species